CCGACCUUCAGCUGGAUUCUUUGUGCAACCAGACCUCUCCAACAGAUAAGUCUUCAAACGAGCUUCUACAUCAUACAAAUUCCGAUCAGACUCCUCCAAUAGGAGGUUCCUAUCCGAGCUUCUACAGCGAAUGACUUCCGUCUGCAGCACCAACGGCACUCAACAACAGUUAACCCAUCAACAACCUCGAAAACAUCCGAACUUCUCCCAGAUUGCAGAGACAGAGAGCCAUUCUACUCCAUCAGA
rnacentral:lncRNA from 1 species